rnacentral:lncRNA from 12 species
CCCAGCUGAGCUUGGAGACCAUGACCUAAUAGUGACACUAAUCCCAGACUGAUGGUGUUCUACUAUUCAGCCAGACUAAGAAACCUACUUAUCAGACAAUUUGGGUGGAUUAAUCCAAGGCUGGGGAUUUACAAGAAAACAUUUAGGUGUGUGGAAAAUGGAGGUAAAGAUCACUGCCUUGAAAUCAAGAUGUUUGUGGUCUUUCUGAGGUAUCCACUCCUGGAUAUGGUGUUAUCCUCUCUAAUUCCUAGUGUUCCUCAUCUGAUGAAGGUGGUGGUAAACAUUAAUUCACAGGUCUGCAAAGUAAUACCCAGACAAUGGAACAAUUUCAGCUUGAGAAGAAGGAAGCUUCCUUGUGGAGAUGUACCUUGUUCAGUGAACCUUAUUGGUCUAGAUUAA